AGGAAAUGUAAGUAAAUCAAAGAAUUACAACUUAAAAAAAUAAGUAUACAAAGUCAUAAGGUUUAGAAAUACAUUUCCAUAUUUUAAUCAGACAACAAUAUUGUUUUUGGAAAGAAAACAUUGAUUAUGCUGAAAUAGUUUACUGGAGAGCUUGAACAAGAGGUAAAUCCAUUUUAAAUUAGAGGAAAACUGUUGAUUUGUAUGUAAAAUAGAAGACAAAGACAAGUUUAAAUAAAGACAAGCUAGCUAAUGAAACAGAUGCAGUGAUAUGACAAACACCUAGAAGAUGGAAUCCUGUGUUCUCAAAGAAAAAGCUAGUUCCAGAAAUAAGCUACCAAUAAUAAACUAGAGAAUGUAUUACAAGAAAGAACAACGUUAAUACUCAACAUAGCUCAAUUGCUUCAGAUAGAAAAAGAGGAGGAAAGGGUAGAACACAAGCAUGCCAGAGAAAAUUAAAGGGCAGAAGAGACACAAAAAUUCAUUGAUUUAUUAAAUUUAAUAAUUAAAUUAUACAAAGGACAAUUAAAUAAAGAAUAAAAAAUUA